rnacentral:rRNA from 1 species
UAAAAUUGUGAGGAAAGUUUAGAAAAAUUUCCAACCUCCUUCAAUCUCACAUCACUUAGAUGACAUCAAUAUAAUUUAAGUAGCUCAUCAACAUUUAAAUUUUUCAUCGAAAUUCUUAUAUUUUUUCCUCAAUCCAAAAAAGAGAAAAAAACUCAUUUUCUCCCUACUUUUUUUCCUUUACAUUUUUUUUCCUUCAACUUUUCUUUCCAUCAAAUUUUCUAAGGACCAAACAAAGCCUUGAUGAAGUAAACUUAAUUGGCACUACACUAUAUUAGUAACACGUACUAUAGAAAAUAAGCCAGAAAAACAUUUUCCACUAUAGAGGAGGCAUGCAUUGUAUAUAUUAACAAAUAAAUAAACAUUUUCUAUAUAUUGAAUAAGCAUGCUGACGUGAACUGACUUAUCUCGGUACGUGCACAAGCCAAGGAGCACUUAAAAGUUUUAUGGGGAAAAGCGAUCCAAAUCACCUUUAGCUCGCUCAGAGGAAAAGCUUGGCUUUGACUUGCUAAGGUAAGCUGCCAAUUAGAUUGACAUAGCCUUUUCACUGAAAAUGAGGGUCUUGGGUUGAUCAAGUCAUUUGCUAUUAUGGCAAAAACACAAUUUGGAGCAAUUGCGAAACUUAUUCGAUUUGAUAAUGCUGUUGAGACGAGUACUACAAAUGCAACUUUUGAGGUUUUUAUCUCUUUAAGGGACUAUAUAUCAAAUUAGUUGUGUCCAAAUCCCUCAAUAGAAUGGGGAUGUUAAAAGAAAACAUAAACACCCUACUUGAGGCUUGCAAGGUGAUUGGCACUACAAGUGCAUGGUCACCGAGUGUAAAUCAAGUGUUGUUCAUGUGAGAUUUAAUGUGAUGAAAUGACUCACGCAACCACAGGAGCCUUGCCUGUAUAGCCGCUCAAGAGUGUGCAAGAACUCACCUGCCGAAUCAAUUAGCCUCAAAAAUGAAUGGCGCUGAAGUACGCGACCUAUACCCGGCCGUUGGGGUAAGUGCCAAGCUCCGAUAAGUAGGAGGGCGUGGCGGUCGCUGCAAAACUUGUGGCGCGGGUUAGGGCUGAGUGGCCGUCGAUGCAGAUUUUGGUGGUAGGAGCAAAUAUUCAAACGAGAACAUUGAAAGUCGAAGAGGGGAAAGGUUACAUGUAACGGCACUUGCACAUGGAUUAGUCAAUCCUAAGAGAUGAGGGAAGCCCAUCCGAAAGCCCUUUCAUCCCAGCUUCGAAAGGGAAUCGAGUCAAAGUUCCUAAACCGGGGCGUGGCAAUUGACGACAACAUUAGGGAGUCCAGAGACAUCAACGGGGGCUUUGGGAAGAGUUAUCUUUUCUGUUUAAUAGCCUGCCCACCUUGGAAAUGACUCAAUUUGAGGUAGGAUCUAGCGGCUGGAAGAGCACCACACGUCACGUGGUGUCCGGUACGCCUCCGGCGAUCCUUGAAAAUCCAGAGGACCGAGUACAGACCAUGCCCGGUCGUGCUCAUAAUCGCAUCAGGUCUCCAAGGUAAACAGCCUCUGGUCGAUGGAACAAUUUAGGUAAGGGAAAUCGACAAAAUGGAUCCAUAACUUCGGGAAAAGGAUUGGCUCUGAGGGCUGGGCGCGGGCAUCCCAAUCCGGAACCCAUCGGCUAUUGGCAGGCUGCUCGAGUUGUUCGCACGGGUUGUAGCGUCCCAGUCGGGGGACUGGGAAUGGCCCCUUUGGGGGCCUUCCCCGGGCUUCGAAUAGUUAACUCAGAACUGGUACGGACAAUGGAAAUUUGACAGUUUAAUUAAAACAAAGCAUUGCGAUGGUCCCCGCAAAUGUUAACGCAAUGUGAUUUUUGCCCAGUGCUAUAGAUGCCAAAGUGAUAGGACUCUCUUAAGGUGGCCAAAUACCUCGUUAUCUAAUUAGUAUCGCGCAUUAAUGGAUUAACGAGAUUCCCACUAUCCCUGUCUACUAUGUAGCGAAAUCAUAGCCAAGGGAACGGGCUUGGAAAAAUCAACGGGGAAAGAAGACCUUGUUGAGCUUCACUCUAGUUCGACUUUGUGAAAUGACUUGAGAGGUGUAGCAUAAGUGGGAGCUUCGGCACAAGUAAAAUACCACAACUUUUAACGUUAUUUUACUUACUGUGUGAAUCAGAGGUGGGGUAUCGCCCCUCUUUUUGGACCUAAGGCCCGCUUUGCGGACCGAUCCAACAAAGGACAUAGGUGGGGAGUUUAGCUGGGGCGUACAUCUGUUAAAAGGUAACACAGGUGUCCUAAGAUGAGCUCAAAGAGAACAGAAAUCUCGUGCGCACAGAAGGGUAAAAGCUCGUUUGAUUCUGAUUUUCAGUAUGAACACAAACCGUGAAAGUGUGGCCUAACAAUCCUUUAGAUGUUCGGAAUUUAAAUCUAGAGGUGUCAGAAAAGUUACCACAGGGAUAACCGGCUUGUCGCAGCCAAGCGUUCAUAGCGACGUUGCUUUUGUAUCCUUCAAUGUUGGCUAUUCCUAUCAUUGUGAAGCAGAAUUCACUAAGUGUUGGAUUGUUCACCCACUAAUAGGGAACAUGAGCUGGGUUUAGACCAUUGUGAGAUAGGUUAAUUUUACCCUACUAGUGACAACGUCGCGAUGGUAAUUCAACCUAAGACGAGAGGAACCACUGAUUAGCAUACAAUUCAUCAUCACACUUGGUUGAAAAGCCAGUUGCGCAAAGCUACCGUGCGAUGGAUUAUGACUGAACACCUCUAAGUCAGAAUCCGGGUCAGAAGCAACAUAUGCGCACGCCGCCUGAUUGUCGACCUGCAGUAGGGACUUGGCCCCCAAAGGCACGUGUCGUAAGCUAAGCCAGCACAGCGGAUGCCCUGCGAGGGCCGCCUUGAAGUAUAACUCCUACCGAGUGGUGGGUUGAGUACUUUGCAGACAACCUCAAUACGUAACGGGGUAUUGUAAGUGGCAAUGUGGCCUUGCUGCCAUGAUCCGCUGAUAUUCAACCUUAUGU